rnacentral:rRNA from 1 species
UACGUAGGGGGCAAGCGUUGUCCGGAAUCAUUGGGCGUAAAGAGCGUGUAGGCGGCCCGAUAAGUCCGCUGUAAAAGUCAACGGCUCAACUGUUGAAAGCCGGUGGAUACUGUCGGGCUAGAGUACGGAAGAGGCAAGUGGAAUUCCUGGUGUAGCGGUGGAAUGCGCAGAUAUCAGGAGGAACACCCAUAGCGAAGGCAGCUUGCUGGGACGUUACUGACGCUAAGGCGCGAAAGCGUGGGGAGCGAACAGG